CAUCCCAACCUGUGUGGGAGACAGUCUUGAAGACAAAGGUGAACAGCCAACAUGCAUCUGCUAAGUACGCUCCUGUUUGUGCGCUUGUUCCCCCUUGUCUACACACUUUCGGGGACAGACGGCCUUGAGCGGAUGGGGAACUGCACUACUGUGGAUGGCAUCACCUGUAACAUUACAAAUGAGACAAAUGCAGAUAGUUUGUGUACACCAGGUUGGACAGGACCUGACUGCAAUGAAUCCUGUGGAUUUGGAACCUUUGGUGCCAACUGUAGUGGAGUAUGUAACUGUGGUUCUGGAACCUGUGAUCCAGUUGGAGGAAACUGUACUGGUGGGAUCUGUGCUGCAGGAUGGCAGGGAGAGACAUGCA